rnacentral:rRNA from 1 species
ACGAACGCUGGCGGCGUGCUUAACACAUGCAAGUCGAACGGAAAGGCCCUGCUUUUGUGGGGUGCUCGAGUGGCGAACGGGUGAGUAACACGUGAGUAACCUGCCCUUGACUUUGGGAUAACUUCAGGAAACUGGGGCUAAUACCGGAUAGGAGCUCCUGCUGCAUGGUGGGGGUUGGAAAGUUUCGGCGGUUGGGGAUGGACUGGCGGCUUAUCAGCUUGUUGGUGGGGUAGUGGCUUACCAAGGCUUUGACGGGUAGCCGGCCUGAGAGGGUGACCGGCCACCAGGGGCCUGAGGGAGGCCCCAGGUCCCAAGGGGGGGCAAGGGGGGGGAAUUUGGCGCAGGGGGGGGACGCGAGAGGCGAAAGCCCCCGGGGCGGAAAACUCGCUUUUGGGGGGAAAACCGCUUUGCCCGUAACCGAGGGGGUAGUGACGGUAAUGGGUAAGAAAGCCCCGGCUAACUACGU